GGCUCAGUGAUCUAGAGGUUAAGAGUUUGCGCGUGAACGGAGGUCUUGGGUUCGAUUCCCAGUUUCAGGGUC
rnacentral:tRNA from 1 species